rnacentral:misc_RNA from 1 species
GAUGAAGAACGUAGCGAAAUGCGAUAAGUAAUGUGAAUUGCAGAAUUCAGUGAAUCAUCGAAUCUUUGAACGCACCUUGCACCCUUUGGUAUUCCGAAGGGUAUGCUCGUUUGAGUGUCAUUGUACUCUCACACUUCCGAUCGUUUGGAUCGGGAGCGGUGGACUUGGGUGUUGCUGCUUUACUGUGGCUCACCUUAAAUGCAUUAGUGCACCUUUCGGUUGGACAUAGUACGGCGUGAUAAGUGUCUUCGCCGGCACCUCACAGAGGGUGGCUGAUCGGGAGCUCUGUGCUUCAAACCGUCCUCGAACAACAGCUGACAACUUGACCUCAAAUCGAGUAGGACUACCCGCUGAACUUAAGCAUAUCAAUAAGCGGAGGA